AAUUUGCGUGAGGGAUUGACGCGGCAUCCUUUUUUGCCUAAACAAAAAAGAUAUAGCAAAAAGCCCGACCCUGU
rnacentral:sRNA from 1 species